rnacentral:rRNA from 1 species
AACGCGAAGAACCUUACCUGGGCUCGAAAUGUUGUGGACCGGGGUAGAAAUAUCCCUUCCCCGCAAGGGGCUGCAAUAUAGGUGCUGCAUGGCUGUCGUCAGCUCGUGUCGUGAGAUGUUGGGUUAAGUCCCGCAACGAGCGCAACCCUUAUCCCCAGUUGCCAUCAUUUAGUUGGGCACUCUGGUGAAACCGCCUCGGAUAACGGGGAGGAAGGUGGGGAUGACGUCAAGUCCUCAUGGCCUUUAUGUCCAGGGCUACACACGUGCUACAAUGGCCGGUACAAACCGUCGCAAACCCGUGAGGGGGAGCUAAUCGGAAAAAGCCGGCCUCAGUUCGGAUUAGAGUCUGCAACUCGACUCUAUGAAGCUGGAAUCGCUAGUAAUCGCGGAUCAGAAUGCCGCGGUGAAUACGUUCCCGGGCCUUGUACACACCGAGACGUA